rnacentral:rRNA from 1 species
GGAGUGGCCGAUGCCUGAUUAGCUAGUUGGUGGGGUAAGGGCCUACCAAGGCGACGAUCAGUAGUUGGUCUGAGAGGACGACCAGCCACACUGGGACUGAGACACGGCCCAGACUCCUACGGGAGGCAGCAGUGGGGAAUUUUGGACAAUGGGCGAAAGCCUGAUCCAGCAAUGCCGCGUGAGUGAAGAAGGCCUUCGGGUUGUAAAGCUCUUUCAGUCGAGAAGAAAAGGUUGUGAUUAAUAAUCGCAAUUCAUGACGGUAUCGACAGAAGAAGCACCGGCUAACUACGUGCCAGCAGCCGCGGUAAUACGUAGGGUGCGAGCGUUAAUCGGAAUUACUGGGCGUAAAGGGUGCGCAGGCGGCUUUGUAAGUCAGAUGUGAAACCCCCGGG